UACGUAGGCAGCAAGCGUUGUUCGGAGUUACUGGGCGUAAAGGGUGUGUAGGCGGUUCUUUUAAGUUUGGUGUGAAAUCUCCCGGCUCAACUGGGAGGGUGCGCCGAAUACUGAGGGACUAGAGUACGGGAGAGGAAAGUGGAAUUCCUGGUGUAGCGGUGAAAAUGCGUAGAUAUCAGGAGGAACACCGGUGGUGUAGACGGCUUUCUGGACCGUAACUGACGCUGAAACACGAAAAGCGUGGGUAGCAAAACAGG
rnacentral:rRNA from 1 species